rnacentral:rRNA from 1 species
GAUGAACGCUGGCGGCGUGCUUAACACAUGCAAGUCGAACGGAAAGGCCCAAGCUUGCUUGGGUACUCGAGUGGCGAACGGGUGAGUAACACGUGGGUGAUCUGCCCUGCACUUCGGGAUAAGCCUGGGAAACUGGGUCUAAUACCGGAUAGGACGAUGGUUUGGAUGCCAUUGUGGAAAGUUUUUUCGGUGUGGGAUGAGCUCGCGGCCUAUCAGCUUGUUGGUGGGGUAAUGGCCUACCAAGGCGUCGACGGGUAGCCGGCCUGAGAGGGUGUACGGCCACAUUGGGACUGAGAGACGGACCAGACUCCGACGGGAGGCAGCAGUGGGGAAUAUUGCACAAUGGGCGCAAGCCUGAUGCGGCGACGCCGCGUGGGGGAUGACGGCCUUCGGGUUGUAAACUCCUUUCGCUAGGGACGAAGCUUAUUUUGUGACGGUACCUGGAGAAGAAGCACCGGCUAACUACGUGCCAGCCGCCGCCGUAA